rnacentral:lncRNA from 1 species
GGGGAACCCCCUGUGGCAAACUCCAAAUUUCCUUUCCUUCUUUUUGCACAAGUUAAAGCGCCCCGACCCAAGGUCUUUCAUUUGUUUCCUAAAAGAAUUUAAGAGGUCGUAGAUCGAUCCCCUAAAUCUUAGGAAGGCAUGAGCCCGAGGAAAGAUCCACGCCCACGGGCUAGGACGACCUCCACUCACCCCCUAGGAUCGGGAAAUGGAUCCAAACUUCUAAAUUACUAAGGAAGAGAAAAAGACUUAGGCUCGGGACGCCAUGACUAACGCAGACCCUAAGAGGCUCAUCCGAACCCGCGCUGCCGAGGUCGGGUCGGUAUAGGGAAGAAGAUAACGAAAAACAUAAAGGAAAUCCUAAAAUUAACAAUCACAUUAACAUUCAUAUUAACAUUCGAUAUCGAGUUUCGUGAAAAACAAGGCCUAUCAGCCCUUGGUGAUCUUAAAACAAAAAGAAAAAAACUAACUACAAGGGCCCUACUGCCCUGAUUUCCCAAGUCCCUGCGUGUCGAGGGGGGGAAGCUCCACUUCGGCGUCAAAAAGGCGGCCAAGGCGUCUCCCGGGGCAUCCACGGCGUCUCCAAGCUUCUGCAGCUCCUCCUGGGCCUCCGCCUCAUCGUCAGGGAGGACAUACCCUCACAAACCGAGGGCAAAUCAAUGCCAACGUAGUGAGAGCUCAACACCGCC